GGCUCCAUGGUCAAGCGGUUAAGACACCACCCUUUCACGGUGGUAUCAGGGGUUCAAAUCCCCUUGGAGUCAUCA
rnacentral:tRNA from 1 species